UACGGAGGGAGCUAGCGUUGUUCGGAAUUACUGGGCGUAAAGCGCACGUAGGCGGCUUUGUAAGUUAGAGGUGAAAGCCCGGGGCUCAACCCCGGAAUUGCCUUUAAGACUGCAUCGCUUGAAUCCAGGAGAGGUGAGUGGAAUUCCGAGUGUAGAGGUGAAAUUCGUAGAUAUUCGCAGGAACACCAGUGGCGAAGGCGGCUUACUGGUCCAUUACUGACGCUGAGGUGCGAAAGCGUGGGGAGCAAACAGG
rnacentral:rRNA from 1 species